GACGAACGCUGGCGGCGUGCUUAACACAUGCAAGUCGAGCGGUAAGGCCCUUUCGGGGGUACACGAGCGGCGAACGGGUGAGUAACACGUGGGUGACCUGCCCUCAGCUCUGGGAUAAGCCUGGGAAACCGGGUCUAAUACUGGAUAUGACUCCAUGACGCAUGUUGUGGGGUGGAAAGCCUUGUGCGGCUGAGGAUGGGCCCGCGGCCUAUCAGCUUGUUGGUGGGGUGANGGCCUACCAAGGCGACGACGGGUAGCCGGCCUGAGAGGGCGACCGGCCACACUGGGACUGAGACACGGCCCAGACUCCUACGGGAGGCAGCAGUGGGGAAUCUUGCGCAAUGGGCGAAAGCCUGACGCAGCGACGCCGCGUGAGGGAUGACGGCCU
rnacentral:rRNA from 1 species